UACGGGGGAUGCAAGCGUUAUCCGGAAUUAUUGGGCGUAAAGGGUCCUGAGGUGGCUAGCCAAGUCUAUUGUGAAAUAUCAGGGCUUAACCCUGAACAUGCGGUGGAAACUAGAAAGCUUGAGUACAGUAGGGGCGGAGGGAAUUUCCGGUGGAGCGGUGAAAUGCAUAGAUAUCAGGAGGAACACCUGUGGCGAAAGCGGCUCACUGGACCAUAACUGACGCUGAUGCACGAAAGCUAGGGGAGCAAACAGG
rnacentral:rRNA from 1 species